rnacentral:lncRNA from 1 species
CCCAGGCUGGGGUGCAGUGUUGCAAUCAUGGCUCAAGUGACCCUGCCACCUCAGCCCCACUAGUAGCUGGAAUCACAGGUGCACACCACCAGAUCUUUUUUGUUUCUCUUUUUAUAGAGACAGAGUUUGACCAUGUUGUUCUGGCUGGUCUCAAACUCCUGACUUCAAGUGAUCUGCCCACCUAGGCCUCCCACAGUGUUGGGAUUACAAGUAUGAGUGGCCACACCUGGCCUGAAAUUGUUUUAAAAAAUAAAAUGGGCUGGGCAAGUGGCUCACACCUGUAAUCCCACCACCUUAGGAGGCCAAGGUGGGAGGAUCUCUUGACGUCAGGAGUUCGAGACCAGCCUGGCCAACAUGGUGAAACCCUGUCUCUACUAAAAAUACAAAAUUCCUGUCUACAGUGCCAGCUACUUGGGAGGCUGAGGAAGGAGAAUUGCUUGAAACCCAGAUGUGGAGGUUGCAGUGAGCCGAGAUUGAGCAACUAUGCUCCAGCCUGGGUGACAGAGCAAGACUCCCUCUCAAUAAAUAAAUAAAUAAAAUGUAGUAUGACUAAUGAUAACGAUCAUUUCUUCCCUUCUAUUAACAUUCCAAGUACUGUGCUAAGUUCUUUACAUAAAGUUUCACAUUUUUAUCUUCCCCAUGACCCUCUAAGCUGGAUAUUAUUACAUCCAUUUAUAGAUGAGGAAGAUUAGGGGCCUGGAGACAUUAAGUAAAUCACCCGAGGUCACGCAGUAAGGAAGGGGCAUAUCUCAGAGUUGCCUGGCUGAGGCAACUUUGCAGCCUUUCCCUCCCCCACUGCGCCUUAACUGCCGUCUUAGAGCUGGGUUUGAGAGUGCCUCCCUAGUCCGGAGUCAUUAUGGCAUUUUCUUCUACAGAGUAUGUUCCUGGUAAAUGGAACUGUUUAUUUUCCACCUAUUUAUUUAUUUUUUUCUUUAAGAUGGAGUCUUGCCCUGUUACCCGAGCUGGGGUGCAAUGGUCUGAUCUCCGCUCACUGCAACCUUUGCCUUCUGGGUUCCAGCAAUUCUACUGCUUCAGCCUCCCAAAUGCCAUCUUGGCUAAGGAAAGAGGGUGCUGGGAGAAACCGUGAAAGACAUUGCCUCAGAGAAAAUGAAUUAACCCAAACUGAGAAAAAAUGGAUGGAGAAAGUAUCUUCAACUGCAAGAUCAAGAACCCAUCUCCUGCUCUUCUACCUCCGAGCCUCUGCUGCAGCAGUUUUGUUCUAUCUAGAAAAAUUUUAAACAUAUAUUUAAGUUCCUAAAAUUGUAUUAAUUUUAUAAUUAGCAUGUACUGAAAUUGUAUUACAGCCUAGUUGUACACUGUAUAAUUUUCAUCCUAGCCAUUAGCAAAAACAGAUACUCUUAAAAGCCAGAUAUCCAUAGCACUAAACAAACAUGGUUCUCCCCUUUAUAAAUCUGUGAAUAUGAGCCUUUUCUUUUUCAGUCUGAUGUAUUAUAAAGGUGAUGAGUUAGGAAACGAAAACAGUGUCCAAGAUAACUAAUAAAAACAAGCCAUUCUAAGAAUAUACGUCUAAAGAUCAAUUAAGUCUGACAAAACAUGUGAGUUAUGUUUUGUUGUAUAAUCAGUAAUAUGAGAGUCAAUCAAGGGUCUCAUUGGAAUUUUACCUACAGUUUUUACAAGGUAAAUUACUCAAAUAUAGCUCGGAUAAACAGAAAAUAUUCAAUGCACUCUUCUUGUAUAUUACCACAUCCAUAGUUGAGAAGGAUUAAAUAAGAUUAGAAUAUCAUAAAUGUGGUAAUUGCACUAAGUAAUGAAUUCCAUAACAAAUCGAUCUUUAUUCUCCAAGUAAGAGCUGAUUUGAUUGAGCUCUAUGCACUUAAGUGUUCUGGAAGAUUUCCUAGUCCCUAAAGCUGCAGGUGUGGUCACUGUCUGGGGCAAAACAACAUGGCUGAAAAGUGACUUGUUCCCUGUGGUCCCAGCUAUGCAUAGGCAUAACCACAACAACCCAAUACAAUCAAAUUAAAUUAUUUGUGUGUGACACUGCCAUGAGAAUAAUGAUUGGAAACUAGCAGAAGCUGUCAAGGGUCUUUUCUACAUCAGAUAAAUUCAGCUGAGUCGUGAAGGUCAAUUCAAUUUAGCACUCAUUGAUUAGAUAUCUUUCACAUGUAAAACAUUAUGCUCAGCAUUAAAAGAAAACCUUAACUCCUUACAAAUAAAAAUGUUUUAUUGUUAAACAGCUCUCAUUAUGUAGUAUACAUUGUAUGUUGUUAGUGGUUAUGAAGUGCCUAAAUUCACAAUGCAUUCUCAUUUCUCUAAGUAAUAGGAGUAUCAAAAUAAAAAUGACUAAAGCCCCAUGAGUCACAAUAUGACCAUUUGGAAUCUGGCUCUUACAUAAAAGUGGUUAAAAAACCAGGUAUUUAACUUUAAAUGUGAAGUAAUACAGCAAAUUAUCAUUCAGCUUCUCUUAUUCUUAAUAAUAUGGUAACUGUGAUCUUCAAGCAAACUCUUGAUAAAUUUUUUGACAUAAAAUAACCCAUAGGGAGUUUUAAAAGUUGUGCAAUAUAGGUACAUAAAAUAAGGAGUCAUUCUCUGACUAUAGCAGAGGUUUCCAAUUGCUUCCUAAUAUCCAUUCUCUCCUCUUUCUACCAUAGCCCUAAUUAUGAGCUGGGUACCAACUAAAACACUGCAUUUCCAGACUCUCUCCCAGUUAGCUGUGGCAGUGUGGCUAAGUUCCAGCUGAUUAUUUGUGAGCAGAAGUAACUAGACUUCUAAAAAGUCUUCACAAAGGAAAGAGGCAAUCUUCUUUAUUUACUCCUUCCUUCUUACUGCUGACCAGAAGGCAGAAUAAUGGCUGGAGCUCAAGCAGCUAUACUGGAUUAUGAGGAUGUGCACUAAGAAUGACAGCAAGAAAUAGCUCCAAUUUCUGACAACCAGGAAGUGCCCAGAUCAGCCCUGAACUGUCUACAUCCAGAAUUUAGAUAAAUAAGAAAGAGAUUCACAUCUGUGUUCUUUUAACCAUCGUUUUAUUGGUUUUUUUUUUUCUGAAGCUGACCAAAACCUACCAUAACUGAUAAAAUCAUCCCAUCAGCCAGAAUAAAUUCUGAGCAGUUAUCAAGAGAAAAACGUAAUGUGAAGAGAAGCCACCCUUAUAAGAGGAAACCAAGAACUUUUGUCAUAGCUAGCCUAAAAUGAAAUUAAUUACCUGAAAAUUUCUGUCACCAAGGCUUUGGAAGUUGACAUGAGAAGGCUGGUUUUAUUGUGUAUCAUGCCCAGAAGUUGAAUGAUAAUUUAAAACUGUUUGCAUGUAAUUUUCCCAAAACUUGCAUAAUAAUUUGAUAUCUUUAAGGAGGAGAGGUGGCAUAGUAUCAUACUACUGUGUAGUAAAAAUCUGCUCUGUCCUCACACUGGGUUUACAACACAGAUAGUGGUACUGGAAAGAGCUGAGAACGAAAAUUAGAAUGCUUGAAGCUUAACUCAUUAUAGACCUGGAAAGUUGCUUAAGUUUUAUAAAGCUUGGUUUUCUUAUCUAUGAUAUAAGGAUAAUGAUAACAGCAGCUCCAUUUUCUACACAAAGAGGUUGGGAUAAUAAAAUAAAAUAAAUGUAUGUCAAAGUGUUAACUGUUGUUACUAAAAUCAUUUUGGUGCUCACUUAUGUUUCUCUGGGAGAAGCACUCUGUUUUCAGUUUUCUGGAAUAAUUUCCUUUUAGAAGGCACUCUUUUUUGCCUGCAUUAACUUAUUUUCUCUACCUUCUCACGUUCAUGGUUCUGUAGAAUAAUUUUGUUUUUAUGAAGUGUGAGUUUUCAUGAGCUAUAUGUAUAUAAGUAUUUUUAGCUAAAAGAAUAUUGUUGAGAAUGUGUAUUUGGCUGACCCACAACCACUUCUUUUGAAACUAGCUGAGAAGCACUUGGACUGACACUGAAAAUAAAAAUGAGUUUAUUAACUAAUUAUAGAAGGUCAUGCAGUUAGAACAUGUCACUUA